rnacentral:rRNA from 1 species
UACGUAGGUGGCAAGCGUUGUCCGGAAUUAUUGGGCGUAAAGCGCGCGCAGGUGGUUUCUUAAGUCUGAUGUGAAAGCCCACGGCUCAACCGUGGAGGGUCAUUGGAAACUGGGGAACUUGAGUGCAGGAGAGAAGAGUGGAAUUCCACGUGUAGCGGUGAAAUACGUAGAGAUAUGGAGGAACACCAGUGGCGAAGGCGACUCUUUGGCCUGUAACUGACACUGAGGCGCGAAAGCGUGGGGAGCAAACAGG